UACGUAGGCAGCGAGCGUUGUCCGGAAUUAUUGGGCGUAAAGAGCUUGUAGGCGGUUUGUCGCGUCUGCCGUGAAAUUUCGAGGCUCAACCUCGAACUUGCGGUGGGUACGGGCAGACUAGAGUGUGGUAGGGGAGACUGGAAUUCCUGGUGUAGCGGUGGAAUGCGCAGAUAUCAGGAGGAACACCGGUGGCGAAGGCGGGUCUCUGGGCAGUAACUGACGCUGAGGAGCGAAAGCGUGGGGAGCGAACAGG
rnacentral:rRNA from 1 species